UAGGUGGGGUUUAAUGCAGGUCUACAGUAACCUAUAGGUGGUGUUUAAUGCAGGUCUACAGUAACCUAUAGGUGGGGUUUAAUGCAGGUCUACAGUAACCUAUAGGUGGGGUUUAAUGCAGGUCUACAGUAACCUAUAGGUGGUGUUUAAUGCAGGCCUAUAGGUGGGGUUCAAUGCAGGUCUAUAGGUGGUGUUUAAUGCAGGUCUAUAGGUGGUGUUUAAUGCAGGUCUACAGUAACCUAUAGGUGGGGUUCAAUGCAGGUCUAUAGGUGGGGUUUAAUGCAGGUCUAUAGGUGGUGUUUAAUGCAGGUCUACAGUAACCUAUAGGUGGUGUUUAAUGCAGGUCUACAGUAACCUAUAGGUGGUGUUCAAUGCAGGUCUACAGUAACCUAUAGGUGGUGUUUAAUGCAGGCCUAUAGGUGGUGUUUAAUGCAGGUCUACAGUAACCUAUAGGUGGUGUUUAAUGCAGGUCUACAGUAACCUAUAGGUGGUGUUUAAUGCAGGCCUACAGUAACCUAUAGGUGGUGUUUAAU